AUGCAGGUGAAAUGUUUCUUCCUUUGGGUCGAUGCUCUAGCCAAGACUCUGAUGAAUGAACUGCAAGAAGAGCAUGAAGAAUGGUUGCCCAUGCUGCUACGAAAGGCAGUGGUCGCAGCACGAGCUCCGGAAGAAGAGACGGAGGGCGAAGCAUGCAAUGAUAGAGAGCUAGCUGUUGAGCUUAGGAUGUUGAAGAAGAAGGUAAGGAAUCUUGAAGAUCAAGCACAAAUACCCAUUUGCAAUUACUUUUGGGCAUUUGUAGGUAUGGUAAUCGCACUUGGUGUAAUUUUGAAAUUAUAUGGAAAUGCAUGCAUUAUGGAGGAAUUUGUAAGCUUGAAAUUGUAUGAGAAAUUCACCUUAUUUAAAUAUUGGUCAAAGUUGUUUAAAUGUUGA
rnacentral:rRNA from 1 species